CCUACGGGAGGCAGCAGUGGGGAAUAUUGGACAAUGGGCGAAAGCCUGAUCCAGCAAUGCCGCGUGAGUGAUGAAGGCCUUAGGGUUGUAAAGCUCUUUUACCAGGGAUGAUAAUGACAGUACCUGGAGAAUAAGCUCCGGCUAACUCCGUGCCAGCAGCCGCGGUAAUACGGAGGGAGCUAGCGUUGUUCGGAAUUACUGGGCGUAAAGCGUACGUAGGCGGUUAUUCAAGUCAGAGGUGAAAGCCCGGGGCUCAACCCCGGAACUGCCUUUGAAACUAGAUAGCUAGAAUCUUGGAGAGGUUAGUGGAAUUCCGAGUGUAGAGGUGAAAUUCGUAGAUAUUCGGAAGAACACCAGUGGCGAAGGCGACUAACUGGACAAGUAUUGACGCUGAGGUACGAAAGCGUGGGGAGCAAACAGGAUUAGAUACCCUGGUAGUCCACGCCGUAAACGAUGAUAACUAGCUGUUCGGGCACUUGGUGCCUGAGUGGCGCAGCUAACGCAUUAAGUUAUCCGCCUGGGGAGUACGGUCGCAAGAUUAAAACUUAAGGAAUUGACGG
rnacentral:rRNA from 1 species